UACGUAGGGGGCAAGCGUUGUCCGGAAUCAUUGGGCGUAAAGCGCGUGUAGGCGGCCCGGUAAGUCAGACGUGAAAUCCCUCGGCUUAACCGGGGAACUGCGUCUGAGACUGAUGAGCUUGAGUGCAGGAGAGGAACGCGGAAUUCCAGGUGUAGCGGUGAAAUGCGUAGAUAUCUGGAGGAACACCGGUGGCGAAGGCGGCGUUCUGGACUGCAACUGACACUGAAAGACGAAAGCCAGGGGAGCAAACGGG
rnacentral:rRNA from 1 species